CACUUUAAUUCUGGUCCAUUGAUGCAACAAGCACCCAACAUUUUGAAACAGAUGGAUGGUAAAGUGACGAAGAAUGAAUUUGAUAUUCAAAUUCUUGAUUUAUUGGCGAGUUCUUGGCCAGACAGACCACCAGUUGAGAAAAGCUGGAACUAUUGAAGAAUAUGAAGACUGGUUUAUUAGAAGAACGGAAAGCUACCUUACUCACGAAAAUGUUUUUGGAAGAAGGGAAGCAUAAAGGAUAAAAUAUUCGUUGCACCACCGAACUUAUGACAAGUGAUUUAUUUAUUCCAAUUAUGUUUGCACCCAUUGCUUGUGCGACAGCAUUGAAAAUAUUACAUUCUCCAUGGAGAUGAAUUAAUUUGGCGUCAACAAUGUGCGA
rnacentral:lncRNA from 13 species